GUGUGCGUUUGUGAAGUGAGAGCAUGGGAUAGUUUUUCCCAUCUUUUCCUCUCUUUUAUUUCCCAGGAGAUAUUCUCUCCUUUAUUUCUCCUCUCUCUCGGCCGACACUCUCUCUCUCUAGCUCUCACCUCUCCCUCAUCUUCUCUCCUCAAUUUCACCUCCAUGGAGUAUGAUUCCGAACAAAGUCCGAGAAUUAAAGUUGUUCUACGGAACGAGGGCUACCUAUCCAUCCAAGAAAAAUUACGAUCGGAUCACGUAGGAGUUUCGGUUUCGCUUGGAUCUUUGGGGUUUUGCUCAAAAUCCAUGAGGUACACUACAUGGACACAAUUUUGGAGGGUGUGAAGUGCAUGCAGACAUCACAGGUUAAAGUUAUUUUCUGAAGAACUUGUCUUUCCCUUGUAAAUCAAACUGUAUUGUACUAUUUUCUCAAAUUUGGAAUACUGUAUCAGUUGACAAAAUUGUGAGAUUUAGAAACUGUAUGUUGUAAUUUGGGGUACCGUAUGUACUAUUGUGAGGAUUUGUAUUUAAAAUGGUAUUGUUAUUUAUGUUAAAAA